UGAGGAAUAUUGGUCAAUGGGCGGAAGCCUGAACCAGCCAUGCCGCGUGAAGGAAUAAGGCCCUAUGGGUCGUAAACUUCUUUUGACGGGGAGCAAUAAGGUCUACGUGUAGACCGAUGAGAGUACUCGUUGAAUAAGCAUCGGCUAACUCCGUGCCAGCAGCCGCGGUAAUACGGAGGAUGCAAGCGUUAUCCGGAUUUAUUGGGUUUAAAGGGUGCGUAGGCGGGAUGUUAAGUCAGCGGUGAAAGUUUGCGGCUCAACCGUAAAAUUGCCGUUGAAACUGGCGUUCUUGAGUGUAAACGAGGUAGGCGGAAUGUGACGUGUAGCGGUGAAAUGCUUAGAUAUGUCACAGAACCCCGAUUGCGAAGGCAGCUUACCAGCAUACAACUGACGCUGAGGCACGAAAGCGUGGGUAUCAAACAGGAUUAGAUACCCUGGUAGU
rnacentral:rRNA from 1 species